rnacentral:lncRNA from 10 species
UAGUGAUAAUUUCAAAAGUAUACUGUGAGACUUGCUGUCCCGGAAUAGCCGUAAUUAAAGCUAGUGGGCACAAUUUCUGACAUCUGCUCAGACAGGCAUCAGAGAGGUAGGAGGCACAUAUUUGGGUCAAUAUCUUGUAUCAAGUCUAGUGACCCACAUCACAAUGACAGAAACAGGCCUUGUUAGAUAGCAGCUCCCCUGUCCACUACUCACUCCUUCCAUUACAUCAUCUGCCAGUUUUCUCUCCUACCUGAAAAUGUUGUAGGUUACUUUGUUGAUUAUAACAAGUAGCACUUUACAAAUAUAUUAAUUUUUAUAAAAUACUACUUUUCCCAGAGUACAGCGACAGAAGGAAAGCUUCCCAAGGUUUUUAAAAGCUAACAACCCAGAUAUCAAAUUAACACAACUUUAACAUGAUAAAGUCACAAGUAAAAUUAGCAUCAAAUGCAGCAGUAUAUAAAUUACUGUUAAUGCCUUUUAUGUGCCAGGUGCCAAGCGCAUUAUCCUGUUUUCGCCAUAAACCUAUGAGGCAGUUAUGCCAUUAUUGUCCCCGUUCUGUAAAGGAGGCAACUCAGGCAUAGGGACAUCAGGUCACUUGUCCUAGGUUACAUGAGUAGCAAAUACAGCCAAGACUUAGAUUCCAGUAGUCUUGACCUGCUAAUCUGCCCUUUUAAUUUCUGUUUUCUGCUUCUGUGUACUACUUUGUAGGUUAUAUACGUAAGAGAAUGAUU